rnacentral:lncRNA from 1 species
AAUUGAAAAAUAAGCUGUCAAGGUUCUUCGAAGAAGUAAAGAGAUAGAACUCCUUGAAUUGGAUUUCCCUCUUUGAUUCAGAGUUGAACACAGAAGGGUCCCGUUCACUUCGUAACUACUCAGUCAUGGAGUGCCAUUAAGGAAAUUUGUGGAGGAAAAGCUUUGGUCAAGAUAUGUGGAAAGCACAAGGAUGGACUUAGCAAAAUCCUCUAAAGAGAGGGGGUCCAGCCACUCGCCUGUUUUUCAUUCUGUGUCCAGGAGUAGACCCACUUGAAGAUAUCGAGACACCAGUUAUUUCUUUUGUAGGCAAAAAGCUUGGGUUCGCUAUAGACACUGGAAGAUUUUGUAACAUGUCUUUAGGACAAGGGCAGGAGAUGGUUGCAGAGGAGACACU